AUUUGAAGUUUUAGUUUGAAGUUUAAAACGGAUUUGAAAUUAUGGAUUUGGAAUAGGAAUUCAAAAGGAAAUAUAGAAAUAAAAAAACAAAAACAAGCCGAGCCCUCGGCCAAAUCCUCACUGCUCAGCCCAGGAAACAACCCCACACCACGAGGCCCACUGCACUGCUCCUACCUCUCUGAAACAUGUCGCACGCGCCCGGACACAGACAUGAGGGCCCGCGCGUUAGCAGGUGUAUUCACCCGGCGUAGUCGGUCGCGGAAUGAGCUGGGAAAGGGACGAACGGAAUUCUCGGAUUUCGGCUGAGAUUUCCCCCUCUCCCGCGUAUAUAACUUGGUGCCGAUCUUCUCCACCGAUUAACGAGCCCGCAGAUCUACAAUUCGUCACAGCGAGAGGAGAAGAGAACCCUAGUUGGCCGCGCCGUGAGGGAGAAAACGGGUCUUGGCCUAUCUUCGUCGCGCCAUCAACCGGGCUCUUGUAUUGUGCCUUGGCGCUUCCCCUAGCUUGUGGGAGGGUGUCCGAAGCCGCGCCCUCUGGAAUCCUUGCCCGCGUCUUCGGAAUUGCUCGCCGUUGCCAAUGCGCCGCCGCGAAACCGGUGUCUACUGUGGGCAAGGCAGGGCACUACUCGACCCUCGAAGCGAGAUCACGAGAAACCCGAAGAUCA
rnacentral:lncRNA from 7 species